GACGUAGGGCGCGAGCGUUGUCCGGAUUUAUUGGGCGUAAAGAGCUCGUAGGCGGCUUGUCGCGUCGACUGUGAAAUCCCGCGGCUCAACUGCGGGUCUGCAGUCGAUACGGGCAGGCUAGAGUUCGGUAGGGGAGACUGGAAUUCCUGGUGUAGCGGUGAAAUGUGCAGAUAUCAGGAGGAACACCGGUGGCGAAGGCGGGUCUCUGGGCCGAUACUGACGCUGGAGGAGCG
rnacentral:rRNA from 1 species